UGAGGGGGAUGUGAUCACGAAUUCAUGCCUUGAUUGUCCAAACGCAAUUCUUGUUGCCAUGACGAUAUACGAGAACUGUGUAUGGACAUCAGUGCUUGAAGGAUAUGUACGACUGACCCACCC
rnacentral:precursor_RNA from 9 species